GAAUUAGGAGGCUAUCAAGGUUUGCUUUUCAUCUGCUUCCUGUUCUUCUGUCGCUUUUCCUCGUUUGUAUCGGAAGUCACAACGGGAGCUCGCUCGCUGCGUAGGUAAUUACCUUCGCCUCCUCCUUCAAGCUAGACCGGAGCUCGCUCGCUUGCUCGUCGAGGAAGAAUUUCGUGAAUCCGUAAAUAUGGUUAUAUCCACCGACCGGAUUUUUGCGGGACUCGGAUUUACCGUGCGCUCGAAACUGUUUGGCUGAAUAUUCAGUAAAUCAGCAUAAUCCAGCUUCAAAUCCGAUACCAAAUUGCCCCAAGUAUUUAAAAAAUAGUUAGGCAAGUGAAAUUUUUACUCGACAUGGCUUGAGCCGUUUCUCAUAUCUCGGAUUUCUUCUUUUUAGCUCGUAAUUGUUUCCCUUAUUCUUGUUCUCCAAUCCGGGAGAAGAAAUGGGAGAGUCAUUGCUGUUUAUUCGCAAUAGUUACUGGAAUCUGAGGCACGGCAAGAGCAUCUGAACUUUUUGUCUCAUCAAUGGUAAAUCUCUCUCGCUUUCUGGCUCUUUCUUUCUCCAAUUAAAAAGAUGAAACAACUCAUGGAUGGGGGCUAAUCAUGAUUAGAAAUGAUGGGAUAUCAAAUCCUUGGGAAGACUGCCUGAUUAAAGGAGAAGAUGAGGGCACAGUCUAUUUUUUUACACAUUUUGUAUUUUCUUCCGACAUGUUCGGUGCACAAGUAUUGUUCACAAAGUUUUCUUUAUUAUUUAUUUUUAACAGUUACAUCAAAUUUUACCUUUUCUAUU